rnacentral:rRNA from 2 species
AUAGGGUCAAGCGAAUAAGUGCAUGUGGUGGAUGCCUUGGCGAUCACAGGCGAUGAAGGACGCGGUAGCCUGCGAAAAGCUUCGGGGAGCUGGCAAACGAGCAUUGAUCCGAAGAUGUCCGAAUGGGGAAACCCGGCCCGUAUGGGUCAUCCGUAACUGAAUUCAUAGGUUACGCGAAGCGAACGCGGUGAACUGAAACAUCUAAGUAGCCGCAGGAAAAGAAAUCAACCGAGAUUCCCAGAGUAGUGGCGAGCGAAAUGGGAAGAGCCUGUACUUUUUAGCAUGUUGGUUAGCAAAAGUCCUUGGAAACGGACGCCAUAGCGGGUGAUAGCCCCGUAUGCGAAAACCAGUGUGUGGAACUAGGGGUACGACAAGUAGGGCGGGACACGUGAAAUCCUGUCUGAAGAUGGGGGGACCAUCCUCCAAGGCUAAAUACUCGUGAUCGACCGAUAGUGAACCAGUACCGUGAGGGAAAGGCGAAAAGAACCCCGGGAGGGGAGUGAAAUAGAUCCUGAAACCGCAUGCAUACAAACAGUCGGAGCCUCUUUAUGGGGUGACGGCGUACCUUUUGUAUAAUGGGUCAGCGACUUACGUUCAGUAGCGAGCUUAACCGUAUAGGGCAGGCGUAGCGAAAGCGAGUCCGAAUAGGGCGACAGUUGCUGGGCGUAGACCCGAAACCAGACGAUCUAUCCAUGGCCAGGAUGAAGGUGCGGUAACACGUACUGGAGGUCCGAACCCACUAAUGUUGAAAAAUUAGGGGAUGAGCUGUGGAUAGGGGUGAAAGGCUAAACAAGUCUGGAAAUAGCUGGUUCUCUCCGAAAACUAUUUAGGUAGUGCCUCGUGUAUCACCUUCGGGGGUAGAGCACUGUCAUGGUUGCGGGGGUCAUUGCGACUUACCGCGCCAUAGCAAACUCCGAAUACCGAAGAGUGCAAUCACGGGAGACAGACAUCGGGUGCUAACGUCCGGUGUCAAGAGGGAAACAACCCAGACCGCCAGCUAAGGUCCCCAAGAUUGGCUAAGUGGGAAACGAAGUGGGAAGGCUAAAACAGUCAGGAGGUUGGCUUAGAAGCAGCCACCCUUUAAAGAAAGCGUAAUAGCUCACUGAUCGAGUCGUCCUGCGCGGAAGAUGUAACGGGGCUAAGCCAGUCACCGAAGCUGCGGAUGCA